GUACAUGCUAUAGUCAGUGUCUUCUGAUAGAAUAAAUCUGUUAAUUUUUAAUCUUAAGGUGAAUAAUCUAUGUAUUAGCAGAUUAAGUGUGUUAUAUAACGAGCCCUUUUACAUUAUCCUCUCAGCUGGAUAAAGAGUUAACCUACCAGUAAAUCUUACAGCUGUCAGAGUUUCCUUUCCCUUUUGAUCUAAAUCGUUGAUUCAGUUUAUUUUAUUAAUGUUUCUAAUAAUCAUUAUUGUUUAUCAUCGGACUUUAGUUGUACUAAGAUAUUAUUGGUCAUGAUUUGCACAGCAAAAUGAACACUCGGUCACAAAUCGCUUUCGUUCCUUUCAUUUCUGUUGCAGAUAAAAUGAUGAAAUCUCAAUCUUUCUUACGGUCUAUUGAAUUAAAAGCACUGAAAUUGCCGGAAAAUUAUCAGAAUUUCCUUCAAAGGUAACAGUAAUAAAAUCAAAUUCAUCCUGGUUUCUGAUAAAUUUAUUUGGUGGUGAUGAUUAAUCAAAAGAAAGAGUCGCUAUUCACGUGAACUAGAAACCAUGUCAAGUCAAUGGUCAUUACCCUUUGAUUACUGUUUAAAUUUUCACUGGAUUUUUAUCUUGGUGGUGACCUUAAUAUGAACACUCUCAUCCUGUUUUCCUUUAAUCCUGAAAAGAAGAUGAGCUGAAGACAGAGUACUAAAAACAGGGAAGUGUCCUACCUUGUCAGACGAUGGACCCCGGAUUGUUUAGAUUAAUCUGAUGAAAUGGAUGAGCUGGUUGGAACCGCUUCAUUUUGGUUAUCUUGAACAAGUGAAUAAGAUCUUCACUUAAUCUUGCCAAUCUUCUUGAAAAAAAUAUUGAGUAAACAAAGAUUCAAGUAAAAGUUAUCUUAACCUCAGGCUUAUUCAACUGCUGGAAUGACCUAAUAUUAAUCACAAAAGUUACAGAUGGCUAUUCAAAGAGAAUCAUUCAUUGAGUUGGAACGGAGCAAACUUAAAUAAUUUGAUGUUCAGUCAGCGUUCCAAAAGUAUUUGAUGAGUUUUAAGAGAAUCUGUUACAAACUAGAAAUGUUAAGUUCAUCCAUAGGCUAUCAGCUGGAUAAAACAAGAAAUGAAUUAUUUCAUUUCGAUAUUUCAAUCUGACUUGAAGAAAUUGUUCAGCAAAAAAUGCACCAAUCCAUUAAAUUGUAAAUGUUGCUUUUGCCUUCCUGUUAAACUUACGGUUACUAUUCUAUGAAAUUUCCCUUCUGAAUUUCACUUCCACCUUUUAUUGUUGAUUCUGAAUAAUUUGUUCAUUUCGGUAAAAUUUUUAAUCAUUUAUAAUGCAUAUUUGUAAAUUUUAAUCCGAUUCUCUUCUAUUUUUAUAAAAUAUAAAUAUUAAUAUUUGUGAUAUCGAUCAUCUUGCAACUCCACAAAAUCCAAACUCGUCCAAGAACUAUUACCAAACUUAGUUUUUACCCAAUUAAGAAUUGUGUGGAUAAAGUAAAUGAAGUAAUUAGCCGUGAGUUCGUGGAUAGUAAGGAUGACGGAGCCUAUCAUAGACUUGAAAUGAGCAGAUUGGGUCCAUGUACGGCUGGAUGCCCAUAGACCUUAUCGUACUUCUUGCAUCUCCAUCCCAAAACUCUCCAUAUUUUGGUUCACCAUAUUUAAUGAUUUCUACUUGUCGAUUGAUAAAAUCUCUGCCAUUGAUAUGUUGACAAUACUGAGCUGUACAUUGAUUGUCAUCGAAACUUGAACGAUUGUACAAAAAUAAAUUUACGUGGAAUGGA